rnacentral:rRNA from 1 species
AUUGAACGCUGGCGGCAUGCCUUACACAUGCAAGUCGAACGGCAGCGCGGACUUCGGUCUGGCGGCGAGUGGCGAACGGGUGAGUAAUACAUCGGAACGUACCCUGUUGUGGGGGAUAACUAGUCGAAAGAUUAGCUAAUACCGCAUACGACCUGAGGGUGAAAGUGGGGGACCGGAAACGGCCUCAUGCAGCAGGAGCGGCCGAUGUUUGAUUAGCUAGUUGGUGGGGUAAAGGCCCACCAAGGCGACGAUCAGUAGCCGGUCUGAGAGGACGAUCAGCCACACUGGAACUGAGACACGGCCCAGACUCCUACGGGAGGCAGCAGUGGGGAAUUUUGGACAAUGGGGGCAACCCUGAUCCAGCAAUGCCGCGUGUGUGAAGAAGGCCUUCGGGUUGUAAAGCACUUUUGUCCGGAAAGAAAUCGCGCUGGUUAAUACCUGGCGUGGAUGACGGUACCGGAAGAAUAAGCACCGGCUAACUACGUG